rnacentral:rRNA from 1 species
AACGAACGCUGGCGGCAUGCCUAACACAUGCAAGUCGAACGAGACCUUCGGGUCUAGUGGCGCACGGGUGCGUAACGCGUGGGAACCUGCCCUUAGGUUCGGAACAACUCCCCGAAAGGGGUGCUAAUACCGGAUAAUGUCUUCGGACCAAAGAUUUAUCGCCUUUGGAUGGGCCCGCGUUGGAUUAGCUAGUUGGUAGGGUAAAAGCCUACCAAGGCGACGAUCCAUAGCUGGUCUGAGAGGAUGAUCAGCCACACUGGGACUGAGACACGGCCCAGACUCCUACGGGAGGCAGCAGUGGGGAAUAUUGGACAAUGGGCGAAAGCCUGAUCCAGCAAUGCCGCGUGAGUGAUGAAGGCCUUAGGGUUGUAAAGCUCUUUUACCCGGGAUGAUAAUGACAGUACCGGGAGAAUAAGCGCCGGCUAACUCCGUG